AUUGAACGCUGGCGGCAUGCUUUACACAUGCAAGUCGAACGGUAACAGGCCUUCGGGUGCUGACGAGUGGCGAACGGGUGAGUAAUGCAUCGGAACGUACCCAGAGGUGGGGGAUAACGCAGCGAAAGCUGUGCUAAUACCGCAUGUGAUCUGAGGAUGAAAGCGGGGGACCGAGCAGCAAUGUUUGGCCUCGCGCCUUUGGAGCGGCCGAUGUCGGAUUAGCUAGUUGGUGGGGUAAAGGCCUACCAAGGCGACGAUCCGUAGCUGGUCUGGGAGGACGACCAGCCACACUGGGACUGAGACACGGCCCAGACUCCUACGGGAGGCAGCAGUGGGGAAUUUUGGACAAUGGGCGCAAGCCUGAUCCAGCAAUGCCGCGUGCGGGAAGAAGGCCUUCGGGUUGUAAACCGCUUUUGGCAGGAACGAAACGGUGUCCGCUAAUACCGGGCGAUAAUGACGGUACCUGCAGAAUAAGCACCGGCUAACUACGUG
rnacentral:rRNA from 1 species